rnacentral:rRNA from 1 species
UCGACCUGAGCUCAUGCAGAUUACCCGCUGAACUUAAGCAUAUCAAUAAGCGGAGGAAAAGAAACUAACCAGAUUCCCCUAGUACGCGAGUGAUCUGGAAAGCCAGCUUGAAAUCUCCAGGCCCCCGGGCUGGGCGAAUUGUAGU